CCCCCCCCCCCCCCCCCCCCCCCCCCCGUGGCCAGUGUCACAGUGCCAGUGUCCCGCAGUGGCUGUGGUGGUCACAGUGGCCACUCCUGCUGUGGUGGCCACUGUCCCAUGCUGGUGACCAGCAUCCCGUGGUGGUGGCCAGUGUCCCGCUGGUGUCAGGUCACAGUGGCCAGUGUCCCAUUGUGGUGGCCAGGGGGCCGUGGUGGUGGCCAAUGUCUGGUUAGAGUGGCCAGUGUCCCAUCCCAGUAUCCCCAUCCCAGUGUCCCCUCCCAGUGUCCCAUCCCAGUGUCCCAUCCCAGUAUCCCCAUCCCAGUGUCCCCAUCCCACUGUCCCAUCCCUGGUCCCAUCCCAGUAUCCCCAUCCCCAGUGUCCCAUCCCAGUAUCCCCAUCCCAGUGUCCCCAUCCCACUGUCCCAUCCCAGUGUCCCCAUCCCAGUGUCCCCUCCCGGUCCGGUCUCCAUGUCCCAGUUCCUGUUCCCAUCCCUGGCCCCAUGUGACCUCGUGUCCCUGUCGUGUCCCCGUCUGUGUCUCUGUCACCAUCCCUGUGUCCCUGUCCUGUCCCUGACCCGUGUGUCCCUGUCCCUGUGUCCCCAUCCCCAGUCUCCUUUGUCCCUACAUGCGUGUCCCCGUGUCCCUGUCCCCAUCCCUGUAUCCCUCCAUCCCCACAUUCCUGUCCCCAUAUCCCGAUGUCCCGGUGUCCCAGUGUCCCCUGUGUCCCCAUAUCCUGGUGUCCCUGACCCCAGUGUCCCCGUAUCCCAGUGUCACCAGUUCUGAUGUCCCAGUGUCCCAGUGUCCCUGUGUCCCCAUAUCCUGGUGUCCCUGACCCCAGUGUCCCCGUAUCCCAGUGUCACCAGUUCUGAUGUCCCAGUGUCCCAGUGUCCCUGUGUCCCCAUAUCCUGGUGUCCCUGACCCCAGUGUCCCCGUAUCCCAGUGUCACCAGUUCUGAUGUCCCAGUGUCCCAGUGUCCCUGUGUCCCCAUAUCCUGGUGUCCCUGACCCCAGUGUCCCCGUAUCCCAGUGUCACCAGUUCUGAUGUCCCAGUGUCCCAGUGUCCCUGUGUCCCCAUAUCCUGGUGUCCCUGACCCCACCCCCCCCCCCCCCCCCCCCCCCCCCCCCCCCCCCCCCCCCCCCCCCCCCCCC
rnacentral:lncRNA from 12 species